rnacentral:tRNA from 1 species
GCCGUCCCUGCCGGACGCGGCACAGCAGGCGGCGGCCUCGUCGCGGCUGCUGGACAUCCUGCUGGAGGGCCUGCGGUCCCGUCCCGCGCGGUAGCCC